rnacentral:rRNA from 1 species
CCUACGGGUAGCAGCAGUGAGGAAUAUUGGUCAAUGGACGCAAGUCUGAACCAGCCAUGCCGCGUGCAGGAAGACGGCUCUAUGAGUUGUAAACUGCUUUUGUACGAGGGUAAACGCAGAUACGCGUAUCUGUCUGAAAGUAUCGUACGAAUACGGAUCGGCUACCUCCGUGCCAGCAGCUGCGGUAAUACGGAGGAUUCAAGCGUUAUCCGGAUUUAUUGUGUUUAAAGGGUGCGUAGGCGGUCGGAUAAGUUAGAGGUGAAAUCCCGAGGCUCAACUUCGGAAUUGACUCUGAUACUGUUCGGAUAGAGAGUAGUUGCAGUAGGCGGAAUGUAUGGUGUAGCGGUGAAAUGCUUAUAGAUCAUACAGAACACCGAUUGCGAAGGCAGCUUACCAAGCUACUUCUGACGUUGAGGCACGAAAGCGUGGGGAGCAAACAGGAGUAGAUACCCGGGUAGGC